AUUGAACGCUGGCGGCAGGCCUAACACAUGCAAGUCGAGCGGAUGAAGGGAGCUUGCUCCUGGAUUCAGCGGCGGACGGGUGAGUAAUGCCUAGGAAUCUGCCUGGUAGUGGGGGAUAACAUCCGGAAACGGGCGCUAAUACCGCAUACGUCCUGAGGGAGAAAGUGGGGGAUCUUCGGACCUCACGCUAUCAGAUGAGCCUAGGUCGGAUUAGCUAGUUGGUGGGGUAAAGGCCUACCAAGGCGACGAUCCGUAACUGGUCUGAGAGGAUGAUCAGUCACACUGGAACUGAGACACGGUCCAGACUCCUACGGGAGGCAGCAGUGGGGAAUAUUGGACAAUGGGCGAAAGCCUGAUCCAGCCAUGCCGCGUGUGAAGAAGGUCUUCGGAUUGUAAAGCACUUUAAGUUGGGAGGAAGGGCAGUAAGUUAAUACCUUGCUGUUUUGACGUUACCAACAGAAUAAGCACCGGCUAACUUCGUG
rnacentral:rRNA from 1 species